GGCUCCGUAGUUCAGUGAAUAGAACGUCAGAUUCCGAUUCUGGAAGUCGCAGGUCUGAAUCCUGCCGGAGUCACAA
rnacentral:tRNA from 1 species